GGUCGUUGAGUUCCUUAGUGAACGUUCAGUCGCUGUUGUCCCAACCAUAUGGACAAAAGAUGAUGGAAAGAAUACCUUCUGCUAUUGGCCAAAGCCAAAUCCUACCCACUCCAGAAUCCGGAGAGCUGAGAUUCCUGACAAAGAAGUCUGGGAUAGGCUACCAAUUCGGGUUUUCAGGAAAACAUUGACUGAAGACUUUGACAAGGCCCUUCAAUAUGAAAAACAAGCUGAAAUGUUUUCGAGCCCAGAGGAAGAAGAAAUAUCAACCAAACGGAGCCACAUCACCCCUGAACGUUAUAGAAACGAUGAGGAAGAUGUGUUUG